CACAAAAAGCUCAAAACUCCACUGGUUCCAAUAUAGAAUAAUACACAGAAUAUUGGGCACAAAUAAAUUUUUAUUUAAGAUAAAAAUAAAACAAAGCGAUAAAUGUACUUUCUGCAAUGAAGUUACUGAAGAUAUUGAACACAUAUUUUGGACAUGCCAUAAAAUAGCAGAUCUGUGGAUAAGACUCAUGGACUGGAUUUAUAACCAAACACAAAUAAUUAUUCCAUUUAACAUGGAUAUAAUUUUAUUCGGAAAUUUAGGAAAAACAGAAAAUAAUAAAAUAAAAAACUUAAUAAUACUUUUAUCAAAAUUCUUUAUCUAUAGAACAAAACUGUGUGAAAAUCAAGUAAAUUUUGCAGGGCUGAAAAACUAUCUAAAAGAAAAUCUAAUACUAGAAAAGAAUAUAUUUUUUAAAACAAAGCCUCUUCACAUUGCCAACCUCUACUGGGACCCCUGGCUUCCAUUAUUAGAAUAAUUUACACUUAAGCAACUUAAUUAGCAUUACCCUAUGUAAUGUUAUUGUGCAUUUUAUUUUAGCCUUCUCACACCAACAUAUAUGUUUUUAUAUAAUAUACUGUUA
rnacentral:lncRNA from 1 species